rnacentral:rRNA from 1 species
CCUACGGGAGGCAGCAGUAGGGAAUCUUCCGCAAUGGACGAAAGUCUGACGGAGCAACGCCGCGUGAACGAUGAAGGCCUUCGGGUCGUAAAGCUCUGUUGUCAGGGAAGAACAAGUAUCGGAGUAACUGCCGGUACCUUGACGGUACCUGACCAGAAAGCCACGGCUAACUACGUGCCAGCAGCCGCGGUAAUACGUAGGUGGCAAGCGUUGUCCGGAAUUAUUGGGCGUAAAGCGCGCGCAGGCGGUUCCUUAAGUCUGAUGUGAAAGUCCCCGGCUCAACCGGGGAGGGUCAUUGGAAACUGGGGAACUUGAGUGCAGAAGAGGAGAGCGGAAUUCCACGUGUAGCGGUGAAAUGCGUAGAGAUGUGGAGGAACACCAGUGGCGAAGGCGGCUCUCUGGUCUGUAACUGACGCUGAGGCGCGAAAGCGUGGGGAGCGAACAGGAUUAGAUACCCUGGUAGUCCACGCCGUAAACGAUGAGUGCUAAGUGUUAGAGGGUUUCCGCCCUUUAGUGCUGCAGCAAACGCAUUAAGCACUCCGCCUGGGGAGUACGGCCGCAAGGCUGAAACUCAAAGGAAUUGACGG